rnacentral:lncRNA from 1 species
AGUCACCAUGCCCAGCCCUCAUUUCUAUUUUCUACAUGCCUUUUUUUUUUCUUUGCUUUCAUUGUUCAGCUUCAUGCCAUGAUCUUAUUCUGACCAUGAUGAAAUUAGUAGAAUAGAUCUUCACUUACGUUCUCUGCUCCCAGUGACUAAUGUAGAGACAAGAGUUUUUAUAUUAUUUGAAUUUUUGUUAUGAAAAAAUGUAAACAUUAAGUAAUAUAGACAUAAUAACUUAAUGAACUACCAUGUGCCCAUCACCCAGCUUCAACUCACUCCCCAAUCAAGGUGAGUGUGUAUCUCCCAUGAGUGAGUAAACUACCACGUGCCCAUCACCCAGCUUCAACAAGCAUCGACUCACUCUCCAAUCAAGGUGAAAUAUCAGACAUCAUGUGAUUUUAUCGGUUAAAUUUUGUGAAAGGUUUAAAGUCUGUGCACUAUUUGAUCUCUACCAGUGCUGCCUGGAUUUAUCGUUAUUCUGGACAUGACAACACAGCGACCAUCAUAGACUGGCAGAGAGUGAAGGACUGUUUCUUAUGCAGAGGCUUCCACUGCAUGCCAGACUUGUGGCCCCUGCCUAAGAUGAUCCUAUUGUUUUCUGGAGGAGGAGACCACAUUGCACAGGGUAUUGCCCCUACUCACUUUUGGCAGAUUAACUACAAUGGAUAUUUGACCCUCUCUUGUAGCUGUCCGUUGAGCCUCACUCUGUGUGCGCUUUCCUAGGUGAUAGUAUUACUAUUCCAGUCUUAUCAGCCAACUCAAGCCAUUCCAUUUGACCUGUGAAAAUAAUCCAUGUCAGGUUUUCAGGUUUCCAAGCCAUUUACAGUCUGAAAAUGGUGCCUGUCUUAUCAAAAAAGCCACUUAUAAGGCUAAUAUUUAAAGUAUUUGGUGGACUUCCAUGCUCCCUACCAUCUGUAGGCAUCUGGUAUUGUUAAGCUUUGGUAUGGCCUCCUCAAAAUUACACAAAAGCAAUUUCUGACUCUACCUUCCUCAUCUCUUCUUGGUCCACAUAUUAUGAAUUCAAGAACAGUCCCUGAACUAGUGCUGUCUUGAUUCCUAUUUAUUUUCUGACCUAUUGCUUAACUUGUGUAUGCUAUAUAAGCUGUGUUUAAUGGUAACCAUUGAUUUAAAAACACUUACUGCUAUUUGCAAAGUAAGUCCUUAGUUUUAAAUUAUAUCCUUCCGAAAACUGCCACUUAAGUAAAGUUAUUUGCUACUGAUUGCUAAGAAAAUGUUACUUCUUUUAACAUGUAAUGCAAAUCAUGGCUGUUUUUGUUUUGUUUUGUUUUGUUUUUUCCUGUAUGAACAACUUUCUUCCCUGGGAGAAUUAGAUAUAGCAAAUUUGCACAGAGGCAUACUCUUUCUUAAAGGGAAUGUUAAAUAUGAUAAAUGGCUUCUCAG